rnacentral:rRNA from 1 species
CCUACGGGGAGCAGCAGUGAGGAAUAUUGGUCAAUGGGCGUAAGCCUGAACCAGCCAAGUCGCGUGAGGGAUGAAGGUUCUAUGGAUCGUAAACCUCUUUUAUAAGGGAAUAAAGUGUGGGACGUGUCCUGUUUUGUAUGUACCUUAUGAAUAAGGAUCGGCUAACUCCGUGCCAGCAGCCGCGGUAAUACGGAGGAUCCGAGCGUUAUCCGGAUUUAUUGGGUUUAAGGGGUGCGUAGGCGGCCUUUUAAGUCAGCGGUGAAAGUCUGUGGCUCAACCAUAGAAUUGCCGUUGAAACUGGGAGGCUUGAGUAUGUUUGAGGCAGGCGGAAUGCGUGGGGUAGCGGUGAAAUGCUUAGAUAUCACGCAGAACCCCGAUUGCGAAGGUAGCCUGCCAAGCCAUGACUGACGCUGAUGCACGAAAGCGUGGGGAUCAAACAGGAUUAGAUACCCCGGUAGUC